rnacentral:lncRNA from 1 species
GUUGCAAUAGAGUUAAACUAAACAAAUUAAAUGCAAAGUGAAGCAAAAAGCAAAAUAAAGAGAGAAUUAACACACGAUAUUUCUUUACGCAAUUAAAAUUAACCAAUCCUACUUUACAGAGCCUCAUUCAGUGAAUGAUUUUAUUCAACAAUUGUUCGGAUUACCUAUUUUUUUAAGCCUAAUUUACCUUUACACAAAUAAGUAAUUUCAGCUCUAAC